UACACCGGCGUGUGUGCAGCGGAUAUGAAGAGCUGUUACAAAAAAAAUGCAGUACCAAUACACCGGCGUGUGUGCAGCGGAUAUGAAGAGCUGUUGAAUACUGUUCCAAAAUGUAAAUAUGAAGGUAUGUAAAAGAUAAAUACGGAGAGUGAAGAGGACCGUCUAUGACGGGGGUGGUGGUGGGUAUCUUUACACUCUCCUAAUAAUUUAUACUUGCACCUACUUUUCCUUACUUUGUACGGGAAGAGUACAAUGUACGACAGCUGACCAAUAUCAAUGGUGAAAAUGCUGCUCGACGAAGAGAGAAAACCAAGCAGGUCUUCACCAUGCAAGCAUAAAGAUAAGUAAAUCACAUACAUUUACAUCUUUACUACAUGCAAAUUGAUUAGAACUCAUUCUAACUUUUUAUCUUAGCUUCUAUCACAAUUUACUGAAAUCGAAAGGGAUCACCAUUGCAAGAAGUAUUGGUGAGAAAUAGGAAACUAAUAGUGGAUUCAUCGAGCAGUAUCAAACCAGGGUAUACAGCAUGAUAGUUUAAGAGAUCCUGUAUCGUGUCAACCUAAUUUUAUACAUAAUGCUUAUUCAAUAAUUGCUUUCUGCAUAGCACGUUUAAUUAUGUUAUAAGUGUAUAGCGUUCAUAUUCUGCUGUAGUACUUUGUUAAUAAAAAAAGGCUUGUACUUCACUGGUCAGUGUUUUAAUCACUUUUUGAUAUGAAGGGUCAGAAUCUUUUGGUAAUUAUCCUUCCAUACUGAUCAUUCGCUAUUUAUGAAAUAAUCUAACCCUAACCUAACCGUUUAGUACUUUUAUAGUGUUCGUUUAGUAAUUUUAUAUAA